GAAGCAAUGUGAAGAAAGGUGGUACUACAAUGUCACAUUGUAGGAUACUGGUGUGGUGGGGGACAAGUUGACAGCUGUCUGUGGGAAAAGUUUCAUCUCUUAGUUAUGUCUUUCAGAAGCAGUGGUGGUGCUUCCAGCAACGCUGUGCUAGAGAAAGGCAGGACCAUGAUGGAGUUUGUCCCCAGAGGCAAUGUGACUUGAAGGCACCACCUGAGCCUUGCAGCAUAACCCAUGGCUGAAGGGUGAGGGAAACUCAGCCAUUUCCUGCUUAGCAGAGAUGGAUCUACUUUUGUACAUGCCAGCAUGCUGAAGAAAAUGGAGGAAAUGGCAUUUUCUGAUGACAGCUCUAGUACCUACCCUGUGGAGCUGUAUGAGCUUUUUUUGAAAUUCAAGUUCACAGAGACAUAUCAAGAGCCAACAUUGAAAACAGCAAUAAUAAAAUAAACCCAAGUAGUUUACAGAAGGUUUACAUCUUAAAUACACAUUUGGAAGGCAGAAAAAAUUAGGCCAAGGAUUU
rnacentral:lncRNA from 1 species